GUCCAUGUGUAUUUUGAAUAGGUCCAAUCCAACGGUUGAUACGGAGUGUGUCCAAGUAAAUUGAUAUGUAUCCAAGAAUCAUGCUUUCUAUUCACAACGGUUUUUGUCGAUGGUGCCUACUUUUCAGGUUGCUGUUGCCAAUGGUGCCAAUAGUUCUAUAUACAUAUAUAUAAACCAAAAAAUAUAAUACCAGUAAUAUAUUAAAAUAAUUUGAAUGCAAGUCAUGCUCAUCAAGGUCAUAAUAUCUGCCAUAAAAGGGGGGUUUAGAUAAAGUCAUGUCUAAUAACCAAAAAUCAAGGG
rnacentral:lncRNA from 1 species